CUUCUUGGAUUAAUUUGAAGUCGUGCCUGCCCACUGAGUAUUGAAUGGCCGCGGUAUUUUGACCGUGCAAAGGUAGCAUAAUCAUUAGUCUCUUAAUUGGAGGCUGGAAUGAAGGGUUUGACGAAGCAAUAUCUGUCUUGGGAUUAUUAAUUGAAUUUUACUUUUAAGUUAAAAGGCUUAAAUAACAAUAGGGGACGAGAAGACCCUAUAGAUCUUAAUUGAUAUUUUAGAUAUUAUUGGAUGGGGGUUUUACAUAAUAUUUGGAAUAUUUAUUUGGUUGGGGUGACAAGAGAAUAUAAAAACUUCUUUAAAUUUAACUAUGAUGAUUGAGUGGUUGAUCCUGUAUUAUGGAAUUAAGAUGAAGAUACCUUAGGGAUAACAGCGUAAUUUUGUUGGAGAGUUCAUAUCGAUAAUGAAGAUUGCGACCUCGAUGUUGGAUUAAGAAUUGAAUUAGGUGCAGGAGCUUAAUAUGUUGGUCUGUUC
rnacentral:rRNA from 1 species